AGGAGAACACACGAUUAUUAUUCCGUCUAUUAAUCUGGUAGCACCACAAAGUAUGAUGGAAGGAGGAUCAAAUUAAGCAUGUGCAAGCAGACCUAGAUAGCAGGUGCACUAGGGAAGCUUGGCUGCUUGGCUGUUCCUAUCAAACCCGCUGGCAUUAUUUAGUUUAUUUAAGCCUUCCAUGUACUCGGCACAAAUGAAGAGCCAGAGUAACAUGGCAGCAGGCUACCCUUGGGUCGGAACCUCGACUACGUAGUAAAAGGGAUACCCUGAGGUCCAGAUAAUGACGCGGUCCAAUUCUUCGAUGGGUGGCUCCGGCUCACCCCGAUUCUUCAUUUCGACACGCAGGUCCGGCCGAUCCUGCUCGAUGACUUUCUU
rnacentral:lncRNA from 1 species